GCAUUAUGAAACAUCGAAAGUGGUACUCGCGCAUAACUCGCGUAGAUUCGCCCGUUGGUUUGAAGUCAAGGUACUCCUUAGUACUGUCUACUCUGGU